GGCCUUUCUAACUGGACAGCACCCUCAGGUCCUCACUCGCUGUCUCCUGGUGCCUUGUUGAACACAGAACUUUUCUCUGGGGGCUUCAGUCUCACAGGGGCAUUGCUGGAAGCCAGACAGUGGCUUCUAGAUUAGCAUCCUCCUCAAGCUGAUGGGGGUGCUUCUCCUACUGGGGCUCAGCCCAGAGUGCUGGGGCUCCGGGUUUCUUCUCAGGGACCUACAAGCCUUUAAGCCUCUCUGGCUUUUCUUUUCUCAUCUGCUGGGCAAAAUCCACUUUCUUUCUUUUUAGGUGGAAAAAAAAUGUUUAUGUCCAGAUGCCCGGUCCCUGUGAUGAUAGUGUGGAUUGGGUGCAAAAAUGCUUCAGCAUUUUGGUUCUUAACAUUUAAAGGCAGAUUUUUAGAAUAAGAAAACAAACCAAAACAGCAUUCCAACAUUCUUACAUUGAUAGCACGGAUUCCAAGACUUUUGUCUCUACUGCAGAAUUACAAAAGUCUGCACAAGAAUUCAAGCAAUUAUCUCGAUACCAUCUGCACCUGAGCGCAGUGCAUAGACGAGGCCCCACCUGCUGCUGCGGAAAGGGGCAAAGAAUAGAAAAACAACCACUUAACAGCAAAAUGUGACUUCGCUACCUAUCCAAAGGAUGAUCAUUGAUGUCCUGAGAGAACCAAGAAAUCACGCACUGGAGGACCCCUGACCGGGAGGAAAGGCAGGGGUCUUUACUCAGUAGAUCUUGAAUAAGAACACUCUCUUGCAAGACACAGUUGGGUCACAGCUGGCCUUGUGCAAUGAAAACCAAAGGGGAACUUCUGCUUACUGGGUUUCUACAGAUAGAGAUGAAACUACAUCCUCUCUCUCAAGAAACAGGAAAAGCCACGCAGGAUGAGUGAGGAUGUGCGGUGGGUACCCACACACCCACCAUGGGGAUGUGCAGCAAAACCAACUGCAGCAGGUGUUUUGGCAAGAGCUAGCGGGCUUUUUUUGUUUGUUUGUUUUUUGAGACAGAGUCUCGCACUGUUGCCCA
rnacentral:lncRNA from 1 species